GACGGAGGAUGCAAGCGUUAUCCGGAAUUAUUGGGCGUAAAGCGUCCGCAGGUGGCAGUUCAAGUCUGCUGUCAAAGACCGGGGCUUAACUUCGGAAAGGCAGUGGAAACUGAACAGCUAGAGUAUGGUAGGGGUAGAGGGAAUUCCCGGUGUAGCGGUGAAAUGCGUAGAUAUCGGGAAGAACACCAGUGGCGAAAGCGCUCUACUGGGCCAUAACUGACACUGAGGGACGAAAGCUAGGGGAGCGAAAGGG
rnacentral:rRNA from 1 species